AUUGAACGCUGGCGGCAGGCUUAACACAUGCAAGUCGAGCGGAGAUGAGGUGCUUGCGCCUUAUCUUAGCGGCGGACGGGUGAGUAAUGCUUAGGAAUCUGCCUAUUAGUGGGGGACAACAUUCCGAAAGGAAUGCUAAUACCGCAUACGUCCUACGGGAGAAAGCAGGGGAUCUUCGGACCUUGCGCUAAUAGAUGAGCCUAAGUCGGAUUAGCUAGUUGGUGGGGUAAAGGCCUACCAAGGCGACGAUCUAUAGCGGGUCUGAGAGGAUGAUCCGCCACACUGGGACUGAGACACGGCCCAGACGCCUACGGGAGGCAGCAGUGGGGAAUAUUGGACAAUGGGGGGAACCCUGGUCCAGCCAUGCCGCGUGUGUGAAGAAGGCCUUAUGGUUGUAAAGCACUUUAAGCGAGGAGGAGGCUACUGAGACUAAUACUCUUGGAUAGUGGACGUUACUCGCAGAAUAAGCACCGGCUAACUCUGUGCCAGCCGCCGCCGUAAGAC
rnacentral:rRNA from 1 species